rnacentral:rRNA from 1 species
UACAGAGGUCCCAAGCGUUGUUCGGAUUCAUUGGGCGUAAAGGGUGCGUAGGCGGCGCGGUAAGUCGGGUGUGAAAUCUCGGAGCUUAACUCCGAAACUGCAUUCGAUACUGCCGUGCUUGAGGACUGGAGAGGAGACUGGAAUUCACGGUGUAGCAGUGAAAUGCGUAGAGAUCGUGAGGAAGACCAGUGGCGAAGGCGGGUCUCUGGACAGUUCCUGACACUGAGGCACGAAGGCCAGGGGAGCAAACGGG